CGUGUGGCACACUGUAUAAAUCUUCGCUGUGGCUCUGUGUAGCGAGCUGUACUUUGCGGUAAAGAAAUCACACUGUUGGACACUUCAAGCUCUCCUGAUCUCUUCAGCGGCAUUGCAUUAAUACAGAAAGGUGGAGCCUAUCUGACGCCGAGCACACUCCCGGACAAACACGUUUUCCAGUUUUUAUUGAAAUUUCAGCAGGAAAAGUUCAAUGAAUCACCUGAAAAAGCACAAAGCCGAACUAAACCUCCAGCCGAAGCAGUGAUGGCAGCAGCAGCCCUGACCAGUAGCAGGUGUAGCAUCAGAAGCACCAGAGGCCUGUGCUUAGUAUUCAGCAUGAUGUGCUUGGUUUGCUUUGCAAGCUUCCUGGAAGUGAAGGAAAAACUGGAGAAGAUCAAAGAGACAGUCCGGAAAACUGAGGUACUCAUACAGUCUGGAAAGGUGAGUUUUACAUUUAAUCCCUUAAUUUCUGAUUUAUUGUUAAAUGUUUGGAAAAAAGAACUGCAAGUACACAACCUGAUCAUCUCUUUUUCAUUUUCUACCCUACAGGCAAACUUUGAGUCAAGGCGCGACGAGAUUUCUAAGAUUAUGAGUGAAAACAUGGCCAAAAUGCAAUGUCUGAAAAAGCAUUCCAUUUUGUCUCCACCUGAGAUGGAGAGCAUUGAGAGAUACACUGAGAACACCAACGAUCAUGUGAGAAACUCACUGGCACAAAUGGCUGAAAUGGUGAAGUUCUAUGAAGCAAAACUGGAGGAGAUGAAAGCUCAAGUAGAACUGUUGGAGUUUAUUCGUGAUGAGUUAUAAAAAGCCUUCAGACUGACACUGUCUGGUGCCUGUAAAACCUUUACUUCACAAUUAAAGCAUGUUAUGUGGACAUUUA